CUUAAAAGCAACAAAAUGGGAGAGACUUUGCGUCACACACGUAUGGAGGACACACAAACCUUGCCGUGGGACAACGUGGUCCCAACUCGCCACCCACUGCUGAAAAAAUUGGAAGCAGAGAUGCAGAGUGGCCAAGGAGGAUCAACCAAAGAGGCGUCCAGACAGAGGAGCAAUGCUAAGCCACACACACACACUUUCUCUCUCUGUCUCUCUCUCUCCCUCUCUUUCUCUCUCUCUCCCUCACCCUUUCUCACAAUUCAAUUCAAUCAAUUUCAUUUGCAUGACUGAAGAUACAAUAUUUCCAAAGCAUUAAUAAAAGUAAUAAUAUACUGUAAGAAGUAGCGAUAAUGAGAAAGAAAAUGUAUAUGUAUAGAUAUAUAAUAAUAAUAGUACAUGAAUUUACAUCCCAUUAAAUAAACAAAGCUAAUGCAAUGAAUAACAAAA